rnacentral:rRNA from 1 species
UGGGGAAUAUUGCACAAUGGGCGCAAGCCUGAUGCAGCCAUGCCGCGUGUAUGAAGAAGGCCUUCGGGUUGUAAAGUACUUUCAGCGGGGAGGAAGGGAGUAAAGUUAAUACCUUUGCUCAUUGACGUUACCCGCAGAAGAAGCACCGGCUAACUCCGUGCCAGCAGCCGCGGUAAUACGGAGGGUGCAAGCGUUAAUCGGAAUUACUGGGCGUAAAGCGCACGCAGGCGGUUGAUUGAGUCAGAUGUGAAAUCCCCGGGCUUAAACCGGGAAUUGCAUCUGAUACUGGUCAGCUAGAGUCUUGUAGAGGGGGGUAGAAUUCCAUGUGUAGCGGUGAAAUGCGUAGAGAUGUGGAGGAAUACCGGUGGCGAAGGCGGCCCCCUGGACAAAGACUGACGCUCAGGUGCGAAAGCGUGGGGAGCAAACAGG